GAAUCAGCAGAGCUACUGAGUCUGACAGUGGAGGAUACAGCUGCUGCACCAUGAGUCUUUCAGUGUGCAGUGACAUCAUCACACUGACUGUAUCAUCAGAUAAACCCAGGGCCACACUGACAGCAGGAACAACAAUCAUACCAGUAGGGGGCAGUGUGACACUGACCUGCUCUGUGCAGAGCUCUGAUGGAUGGAAAUAUGAGUGGUUCAGACGAACCCAAACAACCUCUGACGGUCAAAUCAGAGAUCAACAAAACAGAGAUAUCAGAGUAUCUCAAGGAGGAAUCUACAGCUGCAGAGGAACAAGAGGAAACCCAGUUUACUACACUGAUAUAAGUGAUGAUGUCACCAUUGAGA